rnacentral:rRNA from 1 species
CUCUGUGACUCCUACGGGAGGCAGCAGUGGGGAAUAUUGCACAAUGGGGGAAACCCUGAUGCAGCCAUGCCGCGUGUGUGAAGAAGGCCUUCGGGUUGUAAAGCACUUUCAGUAGGGAGGAAGGUAGUGUAGUUAACACCUGCAUUAUUUGACGUUACCUACAGAAGAAGCACCGGCUAACUCCGUGCCAGCAGCCGCGGUAAUACGGAGGGUGCGAGCGUUAAUCGGAAUUACUGGGCGUAAAGCGCAUGCAGGCGGCCUGUUAAGUCAGAUGUGAAAGCCCGGGGCUUAACCUCGGAAUUGCAUUUGAAACUGGCAGGCUAGAGUCUUGUAGAGGGGGUAGAAUUUCAGGUGUAGCGGUGAAAUGCGUAGAGAUCUGAAGGAAUACCAGUGGCGAAGGUGGCCCCCUGGACAAAGACUGACGCUCAGAUGCGAAAGCGUGGGGAGCAAACAGGAUUAGAUACCCUGGUAG